rnacentral:rRNA from 1 species
CGUGGGUAACCUGCCCAAGAAAUCGGGAUAACACCUGGAAACAGAUGCUAAUACCGGAUAACAACAGAUGAUGCCUAUCAACUGUUUAAAAGAUGGUUCUGCUAUCACUCUUGGAUGGACCUGCGGUGCAUUAGCUAGUUGGUAGGGUAACGGCCUACCAAGGCGAUGAUGCAUAGCCGAGUUGAGAGACUGAUCGGCCACAUUGGGACUGAGACACGGCCCAAACUCCUACGGGAGGCAGCAGGC